rnacentral:rRNA from 1 species
CAGCCGCCGCGGGAAUACAGAGGGUGCAAGCGUUAAUUGGAAUUACUGGGCGUAAAGCGCGCGUAGGUGGUUUGUUAAGUUGGAUGUGAAAGCCCCGGGCUCAACCUGGGAACUGCAUCCAAAACUGGCAAGCUAGAGUACGGUAGAGGGUGGUGGAAUUUCCUGUGUAGCGGUGAAAUGCGUAGAUAUAGGAAGGAACACCAGUGGCGAAGGCGACCACCUGGACUGAUACUGACACUGAGGUGCGAAAGCGUGGGGAGCAAACAGGAUUAGAUACCCCAGUAGUCCCUGUCUCUUAUAC